GCCCAUAUAGCUCAGUUGGUAGAGCACUCCCUUGGUAAGGGAGAGGUCACUGGUUCAAAUCCAGUUAUGGGCACCA
rnacentral:tRNA from 1 species